ensembl:snRNA U6 U6 spliceosomal RNA
GUGCUCAAUUUGGCAACACAUAUACUAAAAUUGGAAAGUAUAGAGAUUAGCAGGGCCCCUGCACAAGGAUGACAUGCACAUUCGUGAAGUGUUCCAUAUUUUU